rnacentral:rRNA from 1 species
ACUCAAAGGAAUUGACGGGGACCCGCACAAGCGGUGGAGCAUGUGGUUUAAUUCGAAGCAACGCGAAGAACCUUACCAGGCCUUGACAUCCCCCCGGCAGGGGAGCAACGUCCCUUUUCCUUCGGGACGGGGGAGACAGGUGGUGCAUGGUUGUCGUCAGCUCGUGUCGUGAGAUGUUGGGUUAAGUCCCGCAACGAGCGCAACCCUUGCCCCCAGUAGCCAGCGCGUGAAGGCGGGCACUCUGGGGGGACUGCCGGGGACAACCCGGAGGAAGGCGGGGACGACGUCAAAUCAUCAUGCCCCUUAUGGCCUGGGCUACACACGUGCUACAAUGGCGCGAACAAAGGGAGGCGGGCCCGCGAGGGUGAGCGAACCCCAGAAAGCGCGUCCCAGUUCGGAUCGCAGUCUGCAACCCGACUGCGUGAAGCCGGAAUCGCUAGUAAUCGCGGAUCAUCAUGCCGCGGUGAAUACGUUCCCGGGUCUUGUACACACCGCCCGU